rnacentral:rRNA from 1 species
UACAGAGGUCUCAAGCGUUGUUCGGAUUCAUUGGGCGUAAAGGGUGCGUAGGUGGCGCGGUAAGUCGGGUGUGAAAUUUCGGAGCUUAACUCCGAAACUGCAUUCGAUACUGCCGUGCUUGAGGACUGGAGAGGAGACUGGAAUUUACGGUGUAGCGGUGAAAUGCGUAGAUAUCGUAAGGAAGACCAGUGGCGAAGGCGGGUCUCUGGACAGUUCCUGACGCUGAGGCACGAAAGCUAGGGGAGCAAACGGG